UACAGAGGUGGCAAGCGUUGUUCGGAAUUACUGGGCGUAAAGGGCGCGUAGGUGGCCUUUUGAGUCAGACGUGAAAUCCCCGAGCUCAACUCGGGAACUGCGUCCGAUACUGGCGGGCUUGAAUCCGGGAGAGGGAUGCGGAAUUCCAGGUGUAGCGGUGAAAUGCGUAGAUAUCUGGAGGAACACCGGUGGCGAAGGCGGCAUCCUGGACCGGCAUUGACGCUGAGGCGCGAAAGCUAGGGGAGCAAACGGG
rnacentral:rRNA from 1 species